UCGCUACUACCGAUUGAAUGGCUUAGUGAGGCCUCCGGAUGAGAAUGGGCAGCUGUUUCAGCUCCUAUACUUAAAAGUUGGUCAAACUUGGUCAUUUAGAGGAAGUAA
rnacentral:rRNA from 1 species